rnacentral:rRNA from 1 species
CAGCCGCCGCGGUAACACGGAGGGUGCAAGCGUUAAUCGGAAUUACUGGGCGUAAAGCGCACGCAGGCGGUUUGUUAAGUCAGAUGUGAAAUCCCCGAGCUUAACUUGGGAACUGCAUUUGAAACUGGCAAGCUAGAGUCUUGUAGAGGGGGGUAGAAUUCCAGGUGUAGCGGUGAAAUGCGUAGAGAUCUGGAGGAAUACCGGUGGCGAAGGCGGCCCCCUGGACAAAGACUGACGCUCAGGUGCGAAAGCGUGGGGAGCAAACAGGAUUAGAUACCCGCGUAGUCCCUGUCUCUUAUAC